rnacentral:rRNA from 1 species
CAAUAGCGUAUAUUAAAGUUGUUGCGGUUAAAAAGCUCGUAGUUGGAUUUCUGCUGAGGACGAUCGGUCCGCCCUCUGGGUGAGUAUCUGGCUCGGCCUUGGCAUCUUCUUGGAGAACGUUACUGCACUUGACUGUGUGGUGCGGUAUCCAGGACUUUUACUUUGAGGAAAUUAGAGUGUUUCAAGCAGGCGCACGCCUUGAAUACAUUAGCAUGGAAUAAUAAGAUAGGACCUUGGUUCUAUUUUGUUGGUUUCUAGAGCUGAGGUAAUGAUUAAUAGGGAUAGUUGGGGGCAUUCGUAUUUAACUGUCAGAGGCGAAAUUCUUGGAUUUGUUAAAGACGGACUACUGCGAAAGCAUUUGCCAAGGAUGUUUUCAUUGA